AGCGAACGCUGGCGGCAGGCCUAACACAUGCAAGUCGAACGAACUCUUCGGAGUUAGUGGCGGACGGGUGAGUAACACGUGGGAACGUGCCUUUUGGUUCGGAAUAACUCAGGGAAACUUGUGCUAAUACCGAAUGUGCCCUUCGGGGGAAAGAUUUAUCGCCAUUAGAGCGGCCCGCGUCUGAUUAGCUAGUUGGUGAGGUAACGGCUCACCAAGGCGACGAUCAGUAGCUGGUCUGAGAGGAUGACCAGCCACACUGGGACUGAGACACGGCCCAGACUCCGCGGGGAGGCGGCGGUGGGGAAUCGGGCGAAAGGGGAGAAAGCCGGAGACAGCCUGGCCGGGUGAAGGAGAAGGGUGUUGGGAGUGAAAAUUUCUUUCCCGGGGGACGAAAAGGACGGUACCGGGAAAAGAGGCCCCGGCUAACUUGGUC
rnacentral:rRNA from 1 species